rnacentral:rRNA from 1 species
UACAGAGGUCCCAAGCGUUGUUCGGAUUUACUGGGCGUAAAGGGCGCGUAGGCGGCGCAACAAGUCACUUGUGAAAUCUCCGGGCUUAACCCGGAGCGGCCAAGUGAUACUGUCGUGCUAGAGUGCGGAAGGGGCUACUGGAAUUCUCGGUGUAGCGGUGAAAUGCGUAGAUAUCGAGAGGAACACCUGCGGCGAAGGCGGGUAGCUGGGCCGACACUGACGCUGAUGCGCGAAAGCCAGGGGAGCGAACGGG